CAUCGAUCCGACGGGGGAGUAACGUCCCCUCACCUUCGGUGCGGAGAAGACAGGUGGUGCAUGGUUGUCGUCAGCUCGUGUCGUGAGAUGUUGGGUUAAGUCCCGCAACGAGCGCAAUCCUUAUUCUAAGUAGCCAGCGGUUCGGCCGGGAACUCUUGGGAGACUGCCAGGGAUAACCUGGAGGAAGGUGGGGAUGACGUCAAAUCAUCAUGCCCCCUAUGAUUUGGGCUACACCCGUGCUACAAUGGCGUAAACAAAGAGAAGCGAGGCCGCGAGGUGGAGCAAAUCUCAAAAAUAACGUCUCAGUUCGGACUGCAGGCUGCAACUCGCCUGCACGAAGCUGGAAUCGCUAGUAAUCGCGAAUCAGAAUGUCGCGGUGAAUACGUUCCCGGUUCUCGCACACACCCCCCGUC
rnacentral:rRNA from 1 species